GACGAACGCUGGCGGCGUGCCUAAUACAUGCAAGUUGAGCGAUGAAGAUUGGUGCUUGCCCCAAUUUGAAGAGCAGCGAACGGGUGAGUAACGCGUGGGGAAUCUGCCUUUGAGCGGGGGACAACAUUUGGAAACGAAUGCUAAUACCGCAUAAUAACUUUAAACAUAAGUUUUAAGUUUGAAAGAUGCAAUUGCAUCACUCAAAGAUGAUCCCGCGUUGUAUUAGCUAGUUGGUGAGGUAAAGGCUCACCAAGGCGAUGAUACAUAGCCGACCUGAGAGGGUGAUCGGCCACAUUGGGACUGAGACACGGCCCAAACUCCUACGGGAGGCAGCAGUAGGGAAUCUUCGGCAAUGGACGAAAGUCUGACCGAGCAACGCCGCGUGAGUGAAGAAGGUUUUCGGAUCGUAAAACUCUGUUGGUAGAGAAGAACGUUGGUGAGAGUGGAAAGCUCAUCAAGUGACGGUAACUACCCAGAAAGGGACGGCUAAUUACGUG
rnacentral:rRNA from 1 species